CGCUCGAAACGAAAUUCUCCUUAUAUUUUUCAGGUAGUUGCAUCCCUACCAAUGAAAGCUUGUUUACAUUAUCGGCACUACCUACACUGGCACAGAUAAUUCAAGAGUAUAAAGUAGCCGCACUAACCUGUGGUACAGCCUUUCUUAAAAUCAUCUUGUAUUCUUCCUUCGUGAUAUCCUUACGUUUAAAAUACACUUUCAAUGCAUGCUUCAUUUCAUCUUCAACACGAGCUUGGCGAUGAACACGAUUCAAAGCGUCCU